rnacentral:rRNA from 1 species
GCAGUGUACCCGCGGCAAGACGGAAAGACCCCGUGAACCUUUACUAUAGCUUGACACUGAACAUUGAGCCUUGAUGUGUAGGAUAGGUGGGAGGCUUUGAAGCGUGGACGCCAGUCUGCGUGGAGCCGACCUUGAAAUACCACCCUUUAAUGUUUGAUGUUCUAACGUUGGCCCCUUACCGGGGUUGCGGACAGUGUCUGGUGGGUAGUUUGACUGGGGCGGUCUCCUCCCAAAGCGUAACGGAGGAGCACGAAU